UGCCCCUUGGCAAAAAUAUGUCGUUCUGGACUGGUCUAGUAGCUCCUCUUGAGCGAAAAAUCGGUAGACAAAAUAAGAA
rnacentral:sRNA from 12 species